rnacentral:other from 1 species
UCAAUCCUGAUGUGUUCGUCUAUUCAACGUAUUUUGACCGAACAACUGUAUACUUGGGAGCUUGAUUGUGUUUUUAUAGUGAAUGCAGGCCUUGUUGAUUUUACAUCCAAGGAAGCUUGAUACCUAUAAAACUGGGCACCCACCUGCCUAAAGCGGGAUCAAAACUCAAGAUAGAACGGCACAAUCGGGAUUGAA